rnacentral:rRNA from 1 species
CGUCUAUAUACGUAUAGCAUAUCAAUAAGCGGAGGAAAAGAAACUAACAAGGAUUCCCUAGUAACGGCGAGUGAAGCGGGAAGAGCUCAAAUUUGAAAUCUUAAAGGUUUUACCUUGACGAAUUGUAGUUUAAGAAGUGUUUUCUGUUGGAGUUUCGGUAAAAGUUCUUUGGAAUAGGACAUCAUAGAGGGUGAGAAUCCCGUAUUUGACCAUUACUUUCCAGCUGUGUGAUACACUUUCAAAGAGUCGGAUUGUUUGGGAAUGCAGUCCAAAAUGGGUGGUAAAUUUCAUCUAAAGCUAAAUAUUGGCGAGAGACCGAUAGCGAACAAGUACCGUGAGGGAAAGAUGAAAAGAACUUUGAAAAGAGAGUUAAACAGUACGUGAAAUUGUCAAAAGGGAAGCGUUUGACACCAGUGUUGUUUAGUUCGAAAAUCAAUUAAAAUAGAUUUGUGAUUUUGAGUAGUAUUGACUUUAUCAGCUUUCUGCACUUUCUUUUCAUAUUAUUUAAUGCACUUUUCAGUUAACAAGUCAACAUCAAUUUCUUUUGUUGUAAAAGAGUAAUAGGAAGGUGGCUUGCUCUUCGGCGCAAGUGUUUAUAGCCUUUGAUCUCUGCAAUCGGAGAGAUUGAGGUCUGCAGCGUAGAUCCUUCGGGGUUAGAUACAUUUGUGCUAAGUUAUAGCCUUGUAUAGACAACUUGUUGACUACGCUCAGUCAUGUAGCUUACUCGCUUAUGCUAUUUUACCUACGCUUAGGAUGUUGAUAUGCAUGACUGAUAU